rnacentral:rRNA from 1 species
UACAGAGGUCCCGAGCGUUGUUCGGAUUCACUGGGCGUAAAGGGUGCGCAGGUGGUUUGGCAAGUUUGAUGUGAAAGCCCCGGGCUUAACCCGGGAAUGGCAUUGAAUACUGCUUGAACUGGAGGGUCGGAGGGGGGACUGGAAUUCUUGGUGUAGCAGGUGAAAUGCGUAGAUAUCAAGAGGAACACCAAUGGCGAAGGCAAUCUCCUGGACCUGCACUGACGCUCAUGCACGAAAGCGUGGGGAGCAAACAGG